GACGAACGCUGGCGGCGUGCUUAACACAUGCAAGUCGAGCGGUAAGGCCCUUUCGGGGGUACACGAGCGGCGAACGGGUGAGUAACACGUGGGUGACCUGCCCUCAGCUCUGGGAUAAGCCCGGGAAACUGGGUCUAAUACUGGAUAUGACUCCAUGACGCAUGUUGUGGGGUGGAAAGCCUUGUGCGGCUGGGGAUGGGCCCGCGGCCUAUCAGCUUGUUGGUGGGGUGAUGGCCUACCAAGGCGACGACGGGUAGCCGGCCUGAGAGGGCGACCGGCCACACUGGGACUGAGACACGGCCCAGACUCCUACGGGAGGCAGCAGUGGGGAAUCUUGCGCAAUGGGCGAAAGCCUGACGCAGCGACGCCGCGUGAGGGAUGACGGCCU
rnacentral:rRNA from 1 species